CCCAGCCAGGACGUCUGCGUAUCACUGUGCGUCAGCUUCCUGACAGGUGUUCUUGAGAUGCCGGAGGCUGGCUCUGGCUCGUUCUCCUCUCUUCCACUUGAGGGUCCUGCUCAAAUGCUGACCAUGCCGCUCCCCUGCCCGAACCCAUCACUGACUGCCCUGCCACUCCACUACCGUCUUAAUCUUAACUCCUGCAGCAGGCUUCCUGGGGCUGGCACCUGUGUGUCCUUUAACCUGAUCUCGGGUCACUCUCCCCUUCACUCCAUAAGCUCUUUUUGCCUUAGGGUAUUUCCAUCCUGUCACUUUCUCCUCCUUGAUUAGUACCCCAUCCUCACCUACUUAGCGCCCCUUCCCUGAGAACUCAGGCCAAUGUUUCCUUACACUCCUCUGAACCAGAUCAGGCCCCGCUGGCUGACACUCUUUACACCAGCCACAUGCAACCCCACGCAUCACAAUACCAGUAGCUGGAAGAAGCAAGUAACAGUCCUCUCCUGGAGCCUUUAGAGGAAGCAUGGCUUCUCAAUUUCAGACUUCUCACUUCCAGAUUCGUGAGAGGAUACAUUUCUGUGCUUUUAAGCCAUCCAGUUUCUAGUCAUCUAUUUCAGCAACCACAGGAUAUUAAUACACCUUUCAAACUGCUUUCAAAGUAGUCCAUCUAGCUCAUCAAAGAUUUCUUGAGCUCCUCCUUCACACCAGGUACUGGACUACAUUUUGGGGAUGCAUAGAGGAAAAACUAUCUUUCCUGUUCUCACAGAAUUUACAAGAAUGAAAUGUUCUGGUUGCUAUGGGUGAUGCAAGGAGAGAAUUUCACAGCAAACAGGAGUAACACAAUGAAGAAGGAAUCAGCUAACCACCCUUGUCUCUCACUCCUAUGGAAUUAAACUCCAAAUUCUGCCUCCCA